AUUAUUUUUGGCUAUAAAUACGACGUUUGUUUUCAUUGAAAGGGGGAAGAACCAUUGAAAAUAUAGAGUAUUCAGUAGUCAUAAGAGGAGGAAAAAAGAGGAAUUUUUUUUCCAUUGAAAAUUAACCCAGCUCUUAGAGCAAGUUUCAUUUCGGAAGUGAAAGUUUCUUCAUGGUCAAGCUCGUUGUCCCAAACGCUGCCCGGAAAAAGAUUGGAAACGGUCUGAGGCAUUGAAGAAAGGAAAGACAUUGGUGGAUUAGCUUGCUUUACUUCGGAUCUUCGAUUGAGCGAGUGUUCCACAGACUUCGACUCGACCUCAGCUCUAGUCAGUCUCAAGAUCAUCGGAUUUCAGGGUGAGCUAUCCUUCUAGCUGCGUGAUGGAUUUUCUCGGUUAUGGCAUAGUGUCUUUAGUUUUCAGACACAUCUUAUUAACUGUUCAUUUUGGUGCUUAAUGUUCCAGACUUAGUUUUAGAAUUUAGAUGUCCUUCAUGUGAUGACUUUCAAAUUUUGGGGAACGUCAAGUAAUAGAUUUUAGUGGAUUUUGUUAUUUUUGACUUUAAUAGGAUUGAGCUUCCGCAGUGUUAUCGUGAUUUAUAAGUUGAAUCGUUAAUGUAAGUUGGGGUUUGUAUCGUUGGUUCUCCCACCUAGGAGGUUAAGUGUGGGUGCCACUCACGGCCCAGUUUGG